CCCCUAGAUGUUCUGGGCCGCACGCGCGCUACACUGAACAGUUCAACAAGUCUUAACCUUGGCCGAUAGGUCUGGGUAAUCUUUGAACGCUGUUCGUGAUUGGGAUAGACCUUUGCAAUUAUGGGUCUUCAACGAGGAAUUCCUAGUAAACGCAAGUCAUCAGCUUGCAUUGAUUACGUCCCUGCCCUUUGUACACACCGCUCGUCGCACCUACCGAUUGAAUGGUCCGGUGAAAUCUCGGGACGGCGGCUUGGUCGCUUGCGUCCGACUGCUGAAACUUGAUUAAACCAUAUCAUUUAGAGGAAGGUGAANUCGUAACA
rnacentral:rRNA from 1 species